rfam:Trichosporon oleaginosus strain IBC0246 unplaced genomic scaffold CC85scaffold_24, whole genome shotgun sequence.
GGGCGUGUAGCUCAGUUGGUAGAGCGUGUCAUUAGCAUUGCGACUCCGCUGGUAUUGACAAGGUCUUUGGUUCGAUUCCUAACUCGUCCA